UAAUAAGUUGAAAUUAGACAAAUAGAGAAUAGAGAAAAAUCAAUCAAAACAAAAGCUUAUUCUUUGAUAUGUCAAUACAAUUGACAAACUAAUAUUGACUAAAGACGGUGAGAGUGACAAGAGAGACAGGUAAGAAAAAGAAAGACAAGAAUUACCAAUGCCACGAAUGAAAGGGGAGAUUAUUAUAGAUCCAGCAGACAUUGUAAGGAUAAUAAAGAACUAUAUAAACCACUCUGCAUGUAAAUUUGACAACUGAACAGAAAUACCAACUCCUUAAAAUCUAUGAACUAUCAAAACUCACCCAAGACGAAACAGAUAACUUGAAGUCAUAACCACUAAAGAAACUGAAUUAAUGGCUUAAAAAUUUUUGAUAAUUUUUGAUAAGGAAGUCUCUAGGGCCCAGAUUGUUUUACUGCUGAAUUGUGUGAAACAAAAUAAUAAAUAAGCAAUUUAAAACCACGUCUUCCAGAAAGUAGAAGAAAACAACUUAUAAGAAGGGUUUGGGGCUGGGGAUGUGGCUCAAGCGAUAGUGCGCUCACCUGGCAUGCGUGCGGCCCGGGUUUGAUCCUCAGCACCACAUACAAACAAAGAUGUU
rnacentral:lncRNA from 1 species